rnacentral:rRNA from 1 species
GAUGAAUGCUGGCGGCGUGCUUAACACAUGCAAGUCGAGCGGUAAGGCCCUUCGGGGUACACGAGCGGCGGACGGCUGAGUAACGCGUGGGAACAUGCCCUAAAGUGAGGAAUAACUGCCCGAAAGGGUGGCUAAUGCCGCAUAUGAUCUUCGGAUUAAAGGAUUUAUCCGCUUUAGGAGUGGCCUGCGUACGAUUAGCUUGUUGGUGAGGUAAUGGCUUACCAAGGCGACGAUCGUUAGCUGGUCUGAGAGGAUGACCAGCCAGACUGGAACUGAGACACGGUCCAGACUCCUACGGGAGGCAGCAGUGAGGAAUCUUCCACAAUGGGCGAAAGCCUGAUGGAGCAACGCCGCGUGCAGGAUGAAGGCCCUCGGGUCGUAAACUGCUUUUAUGAGUGAAGAAUAUGACGGUAACUCAUGAAUAAGCACCGGCUAACUACGUGCCAGCCGCCGCCGUA